GAAGUGUGGUCCGUAAUUCGUAUCGUAGCUCUCUUCACGCCCCUCUGAGCUCCGUGGAUGGAAAGGUGGACACGGAUAAGAUUCUGGAACCCAAUUAAACCCAGUACCCAGUAAAACCCAGUAAAACCCAGUAAAACCCAGUAAAACCCAGUAGAUGCCCUGCUCCCUGGUACCGCCGGUAAGCAUCACAACAGCGAUAGCCCUAGGGCCACCCCUUCCC
rnacentral:lncRNA from 1 species